rnacentral:rRNA from 1 species
ACGGAAAGUCGUGCCUUCCCGGUGGGUAUACGAGCCUAAACGGACGCGGUAAAUCGUGCUAAGGUAGCUAAAUUAUGGCCUAUUAAUUGUAGGUCCUGUGAAUGGUUUGACGAGUUUUCGACUGUCUCAAGGUUAUUUUGGUGAACUUGAAUUAAAUGUGCAAAUGCAUUUAUGAAUGAGAAAGACGAGAAGACCCCGUGAAGUUAAAAAUUUUUAUUAUAGUGUUAGUCCCUAAUGGCUGACAGGCUUAAUGUUACGUUUGUCAAUGAAGUUAGUAUUAUCAUCAAUGGGUGGUUAAUUAGCUAGUUGGUGGAGAAGCGGGGGAGUGUGAUUAAUAAGUUUUGGCUGGGGCAGCAAAAAGGCAAAGCUAGACCUUUUUAGAUUUUUAACGGGUGCGUUGCGAUCCACAUGGUUGGAAGGGUGUGCUUAGCAGAAGAAGUUACUCCGGGGAUAACAGCGUAAUCCACCCUGAUAGCUCUUAUAGAUGGAUGGGUUUGCGACCUCGAUGUUGGCUCUGGGUAUCCUGAGGCUGUAGGUGGUCUCAAGGGUUGGUUUGUUCGCCCAUUAAAACCC